rnacentral:ribozyme from 1 species
GUUGCGCUUUAGCUAUAUAGUCGCCGCUCUUUUUUUAGAAUAUCUCACCCUCGUAGCUACGACUCCAUCAUCUUUGCUGUAAAAUAUAGAUAGAG